CGAGUCCUCAAAAAGCUGGGUCACAUUGACACUGACGGUGUUGUGCAGUUGAAGGGGCAGGCAGCCUGCUUGAUAGAAACUGGAGACGAACUUCUCGUAACUGAAUUGAUGUUUAAUGGUACAUUCAAUGAUCUUAAUCAUCAUCAAGUUGCGGCUCUGGCAAGCUGCUUUAUCCCAGGUGAUAGAUCAGAGGAGAAAAUACAAUUAAGAGAUGAGCUUGAAAAACCAUUGCAACAGUUACAAGAUAGUGCAAGAAGAAUAGCAGAGAUACAACAUGAAUGCAAGCUGGAAAUAGAUGUUGAUGAAUAUGUGGUGGCAUCAGUUCAACCAUUCUUAAUGGAUGUUAUUUACUGUUGGUCAAUGGGUGCAUCUUUUGCGGAGGUUAUACAAAUGACAGAUAUCUUUGAAGGUAGCAUCACACGGCUGGCUAGAAGGCUUGAUGAAUUUUUAAACCAGUUGAAAGCUGCCGCACAUGCUGUGGGAGAAGUAGAUUUACAGAACAAAUUUGGUGCAGCAAGUGACAGUAUUCGGCGAGGGAUAAUGUUUGCAAAUUCUCUCUACCUGUGAAGUAGAUCAGUGCUGUGUAGUCUCAGUCCCUAGUUCUUCAUUUAUUCAAAGUAGAUUUACAG
rnacentral:misc_RNA from 1 species